rnacentral:rRNA from 1 species
ACUCACCAGGUCAGGACACGGUAAGGAUUGACGGACUGAAGGCUCUUUCUCGAUUCCGUGGAAAGUGGUGCAUGGCCGUUUUGGUUGGUGGAUCGAUCCGUCUGGUUAAUUCCGUUAACGAACGAGACCUCGGCACUCCGAAUAGCGCGGCGGACGUCGCGGCCUCCGGGCCGUCUUCCGCACGAGCUUCUUAGAGGGACCGUCCCCCGCCGGGGAAGGAGGUGCGAGGCAACGACAGGUCUGUGAUGCCCUUAGAUGUUCUGGGCCGCACGCGCAUUACACUGACGCGUCCAACGGGUGACUCCCGACCCGAAGGGGCCGGGGAAUCCGCAAGGCGCGUCGUGAUGGGGAUUGAACGUUGCAAUUGUUGUUCACGAACGAGGAAUUCCUAGUAGGCGCGGGUCAUCAACCCGCGCCGAUUACGUCCCUGCCCUUUGUACACACC